UACGGGGGGGGCAAGCGUUGUUCGGAAUUACUGGGCGUAAAGGGCUCGUAGGCGGCCAACUAAGUCAGACGUGAAAUCCCUCGGCUUAACCGGGGAACUGCGUCUGAUACUGGAUGGCUUGAGUUUGGGAGAGGGAUGCGGAAUUCCAGGUGUAGCGGUGAAAUGCGUAGAUAUCUGGAGGAACACCGGUGGCGAAGGCGGCAUCCUGGACCAAUUCUGACGCUGAGGAGCGAAAGCCAGGGGAGCAAACGGG
rnacentral:rRNA from 1 species